rnacentral:lncRNA from 1 species
UUCCUAUUAUUUGUAUCUUUCAGAAGUAAUAUCAAUCAACAAAAGAUCAGUUUUUGCAGAACUGCAUGGGAAUUCUCUGGUUAGAAAAUGCUUGCGGAGUUGAACACUAUUAUCAUUGGAAAAUUUUUCUUCCUGUGUCUGAAAGUUGUCUUUCACAUGUGCAGUGCCACUCCAGCUUGGCUCCUCUGUACGCAGUUUAUCAUGGAUCUGAAUGCUUCCCAAGGUGACAUACAGUCAUACAGUGUUGAAGAACAUAUAGCUUCACUAAACAAAUCACAUGAUGAUAAAAUGAAGUAAAAGAAUCUCUUCUUGCCAUCUACUUUGUUUUUUAUUGUUUUCCUUUUUUAAUUGCAAGAGAUGGUGGAUUUACUUGUGGACAGAAUAUUGCUACAGCAAAGUUCAGGUCUCGGGGUGGCUGCCAGAACUCUCAAAUUUGCAGCAUUUCCACUUUUUUUUGUCUUUGCUCUUGAUGGUUUCAUUUUUACUUUCUAUUCUGAAUGACCAUUUUGCAGGUCAAAAAUCUGUUAAAGACAUAGAGUUUUAUCUUAUUCUGCAUCAAAAUAAAACUUGGAAAUUAAAUCGUUCUGAUAUAAAG